rnacentral:rRNA from 1 species
CGCGUAGGCGGCCUGGUAAGUCAGGCGUGAAAUCCCAUGGCUUAACUGUGGAAUUGCGUUUGAUACUGCCGGGCUUGAGUACAGGAGAGGAGAGUGGAAUUCCUAGUGUAGCGGUGAAAUGCGCAGAUAUUAGGAGGAACACCAGUGGCGAAGGCGACUCUCUGGCCUGAUACUGACGCUGAGGUGCGAAAGCGUGGGGAGCAAACG